rnacentral:rRNA from 1 species
UACGUAGGGUGCAAGCGUUGUCCGGAAUUAUUGGGCGUAAAAGAGCUCGUAGGCGGUUUGUCGCGUCUGCCGUGAAAGUCCGGGGCUCAACUCCGGAUCUGCGGUGGGUACGGGCAGACUAGAGUGAUGUAGGGGAGACUGGAAUUCCUGGUGUAGCGGUGAAAUGCGCAGAUAUCAGGAGGAAUACCGAUGGCGAAGGCAGGUCUCUGGGCUGACACUGACGCUCAUGCACGAAAGCGUGGGAGC